GGUAUAGAAAGAGGUGUAGUGAAGGAGUGAUAGUGGUAUAGAAAGAGAUGUAGUAAAGGAGUGAUAGUGGUAUAUAAAGAGGUGUAGUAAAGGAGUGGUAGUGGUAUAUAGACAGGUGUAGUGAAAGUGUGAUAGUGGUAUAGAAAGAGGUGUAGUGAAGGAGUUAUAGUGGUAUAGAAAGGUGGAGUGAAGGAGAGAUAGUGGUAUAGAAAGAGGUGUAGUGAAGGAGUGAUAGUGGUAUAGAAAGAGGUGUAGUAAAGGAGCGAUAGUGAUAUAUAAAGAGGUGUAGUGAAGGAGUGAUAGUGGUAUAGAAAGAGGUGUAGUAAAGGAGCGAUAGUGAUAUAUAAAGAGGUGUAGUGAAGGAGUGAUAGUGGUAUAGAAAGAGGUGUAGUGAAGGAGUGAUAGUGGUAUAGAGAGAGGUGUAGUGAAGGAGUGAUAGUGGUAUAGAAAGAGGUGUGGUGAAGGAGUGAUAGUGGUAUAGAAAGAGGUGUAGUGAAGGAAUUAUUGUGGUAUAGAAAGAGGUGUAGUAAAGGAGUGAUAGUGGUAUAGAAAGAGGUGUAGUGAAGGAAUUAUUGUGGUAUAGAAAGAGGUGUAGUAAAGGAGUGAUAGUGGUAUAGAAAGAGGUGUAGUGAAGGAGUGAUAUGAUACAUAAAGAGGUGUAGUGAAGGAGUGAUAGUGGUAUAGAAAGAGGUUUAGUGAAGGAGUGAUAGUGGUAUAGAAAGAGGUGUGGUGAAGGAGUGAUAGUGGUAUAGAAAGAGGUGUAGUGAAGGAGUGAUGAUAUAUAAAGAGGUGUAGUGAAGGAGUGAUAGUGGUAUAGAAAGAGGUUUAGUGAAGGAGUGAUAGUGGUAUAUAAAGAGGUGUAGUGAAGGAGUGAUA